rnacentral:tRNA from 2 species
AUUAAAGUGUCUGAAUAAAGUAGUAAACUGUAAAUUUACCAAAGAAACAAAAUAUUUCCUUUAAUA